AGCGAACGCUGGCGGCAGGCCUAACACAUGCAAGUCGAACGGAUCCUUCGGGAUUAGUGGCGGACGGGUGAGUAACACGUGGGAACGUGCCCUUUGGUUCGGAACAACUCAGGGAAACUUGAGCUAAUACCGGAUGUGCCCUUCGGCGGAAAGAUUUAUCGCCAUUGGAGCGGCCCGCGUCUGAUUAGCUAGUUGGUGAGGUAACGGCCCACCAAGGCGACGAUCAGUAGCUGGUCUGAGAGGAUGAUCAGCCACACUGGGACUGAGGCACGGCCCAGACUCCUACGGGAGGCAGGAGUGGGGAAUCUUGCGCAAUGGGCGAAAGCAUGACGCAGCCAUGCCGCGUGAAUGAUGAAGGUCUUAGGAUUGUAAAAUUCUUUCAGCGGGGACGAUAAUGACGGUACCCGCAGAAGAAGCUCCGGCUAACUUCGUG
rnacentral:rRNA from 1 species